UACGUAGGGCGCAAGCGUUGUCCGGAAUUAUUGGGCGUAAAGAGCUCGUAGGCGGUUUGUCGCGUCUGGUGUGAAAACCCGAGGCUCAACCUCGGGCUGGCAUCGGGUACGGGCAGACUAGAGUGCGGUAGGGGAGACUGGAAUUCCUGGUGUAGCGGUGGAAUGCGCAGAUAUCAGGAGGAACACCGAUGGCGAAGGCAGGUCUCUGGGCCGCAACUGACGCUGAGGAGCGAAAGCAUGGGGAGCGAACAGGAUUAGAAACCCGAGUAGUCC
rnacentral:rRNA from 1 species